rnacentral:rRNA from 1 species
GUCCUUAGUACGAGAGGACCGGGACGAAGCGACCGCUCGUGUACGGGCUGUUCCGCCAGGGGCAGCGCCCGGUAGCGAUGUCGCGCGCAGAUAACCGCUGAAAGCAUCUAAGUGGGAAACUGUUCCCAAGAUGAACACUCCUGGGUCUCAAGACCCCUGAAGGGCCGUGGGAGACUACCACGUUGAUAGGCGGCAGAUGCAAGGUGUGCAAGCACUUCAGUCGAGCCGUACUAAUCGCCCGUGCAGUUUGAUCUC